GGGUCCGUGGGUCUCUUCAGGGACUGUGUCGCCGGUUGCAAGCGAGGGCGUCUGGGCUCGAACCGACGGAGCCAUGCCUCUACGACUUGAUAUCAAGAGAAAGCUAACUGCUCGGUCUGAUCGAGUUAAGAGUGUGGAUUUGCAUCCUACAGAGCCAUGGAUGUUGGCAAGUCUUUACAAUGGCAGUGUGUGUGUUUGGAAUCAUGAAACACAGACGCUGGUGAAAACAUUUGAAGUAUGUGACCUUCCUGUUCGAGCUGCAAAGUUUGUUGCAAGAAAGAAUUGGGUUGUGACAGGAGCGGAUGACAUGCAGAUUAGAGUGUUCAAUUACAAUACUCUGGAGAGAGUUCAUAUGUUUGAAGCGCACUCGGACUACAUUCGCUGUAUCGCUGUUCAUCCAACCCAGCCUUUCAUUCUCACCAGCAGUGAUGACAUGCUUAUUAAGCUCUGGGACUGGGAUAAAAAAUGGUCUUGCUCACAAGUGUUUGAAGGACACACGCAUUAUGUUAUGCAGAUUGUGAUCAACCCCAAAGAUAACAAUCAGUUUGCCAGCGCAUCUUUGGACAGAACUAUCAAGGUGUGGCAGCUGGGCUCUUCAUCACCAAACUUCACUUUGGAGGGACAUGAGAAAGGCGUGAAUUGCAUUGAUUACUACAGUGGUGGCGACAAACCAUACCUUAUUUCAGGUGCAGAUGACCGUCUGGUUAAAAUAUGGGACUAUCAGAAUAAAACAUGUGUGCAGACACUAGAGGGACAUGUCCAAAAUGUGUCUUGUGCCAGUUUUCAUCCUGAGUUGCCAAUCAUCAUCACAGGUUCAGAAGAUGGAACUGUGCGCAUAUGGCAUUCAAGCACGUAUCGCCUUGAGAGCACAUUGAAUUAUGGAAUGGAGAGGGUGUGGUGUGUGGCCAGUCUGAGAGGGUCCAAUAAUGUCGCUUUGGGCUAUGACGAAGGGAGUAUCAUUGUUAAGCUUGGUCGGGAGGAACCUGCCAUGUCCAUGGAUGCCAAUGGAAAGAUAAUUUGGGCCAAGCAUUCAGAAGUCCAGCAGGCCAACCUAAAAGCAAUGGGAGAUGCUGAAAUUAAAGAUGGAGAAAGAUUGCCACUGGCAGUAAAGGAUAUGGGCAGUUGUGAAAUAUACCCUCAGACUAUUCAACACAAUCCUAAUGGGCGGUUUGUUGUGGUUUGUGGUGAUGGCGAGUAUAUCAUCUACACAGCAAUGGCUUUGAGAAACAAGAGCUUUGGGUCUGCCCAGGAGUUUGCAUGGGCCCAUGAUUCUUCAGAAUAUGCAAUAAGAGAGAGCAACAGUGUUGUAAAGAUAUUUAAGAACUUUAAGGAAAAAAAAUCAUUUAAACCAGAUUUUGGAGCUGAAAGUAUCUAUGGAGGCUUCUUAUUGGGGGUCAGAUCUGUAAAUGGCUUGGCUUUCUAUGACUGGGACAAUACAGAACUCAUACGCAGAAUUGAAAUUCAGCCCAAACAUAUUUUCUGGUCUGACUCUGGAGAGCUGGUCUGUAUUGCCACUGAGGAGUCAUUUUUUAUCCUUAAGUACCUGUCGGAAAAAGUCUUGGCUGCACAGGAAACGCAUGAGGGAGUUACUGAAGAUGGCAUUGAAGAUGCCUUUGAGGUUCUUGGUGAGAUUCAGGAAAUUGUGAAAACAGGGCUGUGGGUAGGCGACUGCUUCAUUUACACAAGUUCUGUGAACAGAUUAAAUUAUUAUGUUGGAGGAGAAAUAGUCACCAUUGCCCACUUGGACAGAACGAUGUAUCUCCUGGGCUAUAUUCCUAAAGACAACAGGCUUUAUCUGGGGGACAAAGAACUGAACAUCGUCAGCUACUCCCUCCUGGUCUCCGUGCUGGAGUACCAGACGGCUGUCAUGCGGAGGGACUUCAGCAUGGCUGACAAGGUCCUUCCCACCAUUCCAAAGGAACAAAGGACCAGAGUCGCCCACUUUUUGGAAAAGCAGGGCUUCAAGCAGCAAGCUCUAACAGUAUCCACAGAUCCUGAGCAUCGCUUUGAACUUGCUCUUCAGCUUGGAGAACUAAAAAUUGCGUACCAGUUAGCAGUGGAAGCAGAGUCGGAACAGAAGUGGAAACAACUUGCUGAGCUUGCCAUCAGUAAAUGUCAGUUUGGCCUCGCCCAGGAGUGCCUGCACCACGCACAGGAUUAUGGGGGUCUGUUGCUAUUGGCCACCGCCUCUGGAAAUGCUAGUAUGGUGAACAAGCUAGCAGAGGGUGCAGAGAGAGAUGGCAAGAAUAAUGUGGCAUUCAUGAGUUACUUCUUACAGGGCAAGCUCGAUGCUUGCCUAGAGCUCUUGAUCAGGACUGGACGACUGCCAGAAGCUGCUUUCCUGGCCCGGACUUACUUACCCAGUCAGGUUUCAAGGGUGGUUAAACUGUGGAGAGAAAAUCUCUCAAAAGUCAAUCAGAAAGCAGCGGAAUCCCUUGCUGAUCCAACAGAGUAUGAGAACCUUUUUCCUGGAUUAAAAGAAGCCUUUGUUGUGGAAGAAUGGGUGAAGGAAACACAUGCUGACCUGUUGCCAGCUAAGCAAUACCCACUUGUCACGCCAAAUGAAGAAAGAAAUGUCAUGGAAGAGGCAAAAGGCUUUCAGCCCUCAAGGUCUGCAACUCAACAGGAACUUGAUGGGAAACCUGCUUCUCCUACUCCGGUUAUCAUAGAAUCCCACACAGCCAACAAAGAAGAAAAGAGUUUACUGGAACUAGAAGAUUUGGAUAAUUUGGAUUUAGAAGAUAUUGACACAACAGAUAUCAACCUGGAUGAAGAGAUUUUGGAUGACUGAAUGUAAUGUUUCCCAUUUAAGGACUAAACAGAUUAUGGACAGGGCCACUAUUUGGAACUUAAGAAAAAAACAAAUAGGGAACUCCAAAUCAAACUUUAAGAAAACCCAUUCACGGGUGAUGUCAAAGCUAAUGCACCUAAAGGCAAUUCACUUGAAGCAUCCUCAUGACCCCCAGCCUGCUCUCUGCUUAUGUGGGACGAAGGUGUGUAUAUUCCUGCCCUCUGCACUGGAUUCCACUACACAUGCUGAAGUGGGCUGGCUGGACAUCACCUACGGUUAGGAAUGCUGUUUCUAUGAGAAAUGAUGCUGUUUUCAAAUAUGGACUGUAUUUCUUAGACCAUGCCUAUGGCACUUUCUAAUUACAAAUGCCUUACCUUAGUAGGAAUGGUUCAGGUUACUUGGUGGAUAAUCUCUGAGUCAAAAGGCCUUAGUC